rnacentral:rRNA from 1 species
AUUGAACGCUGGCGGCAGGCCUAACACAUGCAAGUCGAACGAGUGGCGGACGGGUGAGUAAUGUCUGGGAAACUGCCUGAUGGAGGGGGAUAACUACUGGAAACGGUAGCUAAUACCGCAUACCAUCGGAUGUGCCACGAUGGGAUUAGCUAGUAGGUGGGGUAAAGGCUCACCUAGGCGACGAUCCCUAGCUGGUCUGAGAGGAUGACCAGCCACACUGGAACUGAGACACGGUCCAGACUCCUACGGGAGGCAGCAGUGGGGAAUAUUGCACAAUGGGCGCAAGCCUGAGACAGCCAUGCCGCGUGUAUGAAGAAGGCCUUCGGGUUGUAAAGUACUUUCAGUGGGGAGGCGUUACUCGCAGAAGAAGCACCGGCUAACUCCGUGCCAGCCGCCGCGGUAAUUC